rnacentral:rRNA from 1 species
UGGGGAAUUUUGGACAAUGGGCGCAAGCCUGAUCCAGCCAUGCCGCGUGCGGGAAGAAGGCCUUCGGGUUGUAAACCGCUUUUGUCAGGGAAGAAAUCUUCUGAGUUAAUACCUCGGGAGGAUGACGGUACCUGAAGAAUAAGCACCGGCUAACUACGUGCCAGCAGCCGCGGUAAUACGUAGGGUGCAAGCGUUAAUCGGAAUUACUGGGCGUAAAGCGUGCGCAGGCGGUUUUGUAAGACAGAGGUGAAAUCCCCGGGCUCAACCUGGGAACUGCCUUUGUGACUGCAAGGCUUGAGUGCGGCAGAGGGGGGAAUGGAAUUCCGCGUGUAGCAGUGAAAUUGCGUAGAUAUGCGGAGGAACACCGAUGGCGAAGGCAAUCCCCUGGGCCUGCACUGACGGCUUCAUGCACGAAAGCGUGGGGAGCAAACAGGAUUAGAUACCCUGGUAGUCACG